UUUAGUUUAUCCCAUUUGCUUUCUGGUAAGCAAUUAUAUCUACAUAAAUUAGCUUCUGCUCCUGUAUCUAUCAUAGGCGUAUAAUAUCUACUGUAAUAUCCUUCUACUACUAUCUUCAUUAAUACAUAUAUCUUCAUUUCAUGUUAAGGCUCUUUUUAAGAAUAACUUUUCUUUGUUAUAUGUUAAGGUUAAUUGUGUAUGUUCUAUAUUAUAUGGUUUUACUUGUUCUAACCAUUUUAUUCCUAAUAUUAUAUCUGCUUUUUGCAUUUCUUCUUUUACUUCGAAUUCUAUUUUUAUUUUUCUAACUCCUAUUAUUAUUUCUUUUUCUGCUAUAUUUUUAUUAUUUAUUAAACUUCUUGGUAAGUCUGGGCAUAUAUUAUUGUCGGUUUUUAUUUCUUCAUUUCUUACUAGAUAUUUUGCUAUAUGAUUUUCUUCUUGUCCUGUAUUCAAAAGUAUU
rnacentral:lncRNA from 1 species